AGCCUAUAAGGCCUCCUACACAAUGCUGAUCCUUGGGCCAGCAGCAUGGCUGUCACCUAGGGAGUUAGAAAUGCAGAUUCCUGGUCCGAAUUUGACUGAAUCCAAAAGAUUCAAAGUAGGCCGAUUCAAGGUGAAGAAGUGCUGUGUCACAGCCCAAAUCUCUUGGCCUGCCACAUUGGUAAAGCAGGGAGAGGGGGCAGUUUGAAGACAGACAGAAGGUGAAGCAGAGUGGAGCCCAAUCACCUGGUGGAACCUGUUCACCUAGAAUUUAAGAGUCAUGGGUACCAAACGGAGGACAGAGAAGGAGGAGCAUCUUGCAAUUUGCACAUCACAUGAAUCCGCAUCUCCAUCUAUCUAUCUCUCUGGAAUCGUCAUAAGGGAAAAACAAAGAGACUUGUCAGACCAACUACAGCUUGGUCUGUGCUAUAGUUUGUGGCUCAGAGCUCAUCUUUUCUUAAUCCUCUUCAACUUUAUGUGAACUUUGAACCCUGUAGGACGCUGCUUGGUAUAUCUAGGAAAUAUAGCUAUUCAAGUUACAAUUU
rnacentral:lncRNA from 1 species